rnacentral:lncRNA from 1 species
ACCAACACCACAUCAUUUCUGCUCCCUCUCCCUCCCUGUAACAAACUUUCAAAGCCAGUUUCUAGUCGACCUUGAUUGGUUUAUUUUAGUUUUACACUUUGUCCCUCACAUACAGUUAAGUGUCUUGUACUGUUAGAUUUCUACAAAAAUAUCAAUUUUUCAAAAGCAAAAAAAAAGGGAAAGAUAUAUUUUAAUAUAUAAAAGGAAAAAAGCUAAAUCUGACAUUUCAUUAUAUUCUUAAAAACAUUCCAGUCUAUUUACAGAUGUGUAAAAAACAAAGAAAAUCUCCAGGUCUCUUGGUGUAGUGAGAGCGUGCGCCUUGCAGGGGUUUCCUUUGUUCUCUUGAUUCCAAAGUCUUCUCAGUAGGUGCCAUAUUCUAUGAUUAUUGCCACAAAUGAUAGCAUAUAUAAUUUUUAAAAGGUUUGGGAGCUUAAGGGAAGAGCAAAAGAAAGUCAUCAUUUAAAUUCAUAGCAAAAUAUUCAUAGCAAAAAAUACAUGGGACAGUGAAAUAAGCAAAAACUGAGAGCAUUUUGAACAUGCUUUGUUGACUGGUAGAACCCAUUCAUAGAUCCUUCUUGGAACUGCACCAACUACCACCUUUUGCAGCCAAAUUGGGGGGCUCUCCUUAGUUAAUUUAGUAAUCACAUUCAGGGGCCCAAAAUUUUUGCUGUCACCUUUACACAGUACAUUUUUAUUGCAGUAAAGUGUUACUUAGUGCCCAAUGCCAAGCAAUAAAUACAUCCAGGGAUUUUACACUAUGUGAUAAUGAACAGAACAUCCUCAAAAGUACAGCAUUUGUUUUAGAUCAUGUUUGAUCAAUUAUCAUGGUAAGUUACAGCCUUCUCUGUCCCAGAGAAAGCACACAAUUCUGUGUGCUAAUUAAAAUCGGCUAUUUGGAACCAUAAAAGGGUGAGGUACAGAAAGAGGGGUCAGUGAUUAGGAAUUUGAAAGGAAUCACAGCACAGGUCUGGAUGCUGUUUCUCACACAGGAGGAAUAAAAUCUACUGGCAAAACA